GUCGAGAAUCUUUCACAAUGGGGGCAACCCUGAUGGAGCGACGCCGCGUGGAGGAUAAGGUCUUCGGAUUGUAAACUCCUGUCAUGCGUGAACAAGGUUGCUUGGUUAAUACCUGGGCAAAUUGAUGGUAACGCAAGAGGAAGAGACGGCUAACUCUGUGCCAGCAGCCGCGGUAAUACGUAGGGUGCAAGCGUUGUUCGGAAUCACUGGGCGUAAAGGGUGCGUAGGUGGCGUGGUAAGUCAGAUGUGAAAGCCCGGGGCUCAACCUCGGAACUGCAUCCGAUACGGCCAUGCUAGAGUACUGGAGAGGUGACUAGAAUUCUCGGUGUAGCAGUGAAAUGCGUAGAUAUCGAGAGGAAUACCAAAGGCGUAGGCAGGUCACUGGACAGUUACUGACACUGAGGCACGAAGGCCAGGGGAGCGAACGGGAUUAGAUACCCGAGUAGUCC
rnacentral:rRNA from 1 species